ACUAGAAGUGGCAGAGGGAAGCAUACCACUUACUUCCUAUUAUAGGGUCAAAACAAUUAUCCACUUCUGCAGCAUCAUAAGCACGGGGAUUGUUUCUCAGAGCAUUAAUCAGGGUAGAUUUCCCAACUCCACUAGGACCCACAAUCACUGUAGUCUGAUCCCUCAAAAUAAAUGCAAGAGAAUCAAGUCCUCGCUUGGAUUCAACACUACAAAACACUGGUUCAUAACCCCAGCUCCGCAGUCUAGAUUUCCAUUCAACCAAUGUCUCUUCAUCUACAAGCUCCGAUUUAUUUAAAGCGAGCGUGAACGGAAUGCCAGUGGACUCAGCCUCGACUAAAAACCUUGUGAGCGUGAAUGGCUCAAGCUUCGGCUGCUCCAUGGAGAAAAGCACCAACAAGUGAUCCACAUUAGCCACCGGAGGGUCCAAAAUCUCCGAUCUCCGUUGGAACACAUUCUCGAUCAUGCCCCUUCGGUC
rnacentral:misc_RNA from 1 species